rnacentral:snoRNA from 1 species
AAGACUCUACUUUCAGGGAUCAUUUCUUUAGUCUGGAACUAGAGGAUUGUGUUUCUACAGAGGUUGGUCUGGCUGUCCAUGAUGAUGAUGAUGAUGAUGAUGAUGAUGAUGAUGAUGAUGAUGAUGAUGAUGAUGAUGAUGAUGAUGAUGAUGAAGAUGUUUCCUUCAGAGCAGGAAGCUGGUGAGAAGAUGAGAGUCUUCUUCACUGAUGAAGACUGUUCAGUGUUUCUGGAUGUGACACUGAAGGAGGAAACAUUGUCUGAGU